UAGGGAAUCUUCGGCAAUGGGGGGAACCCUGACCGAGCAACGCCGCGUGAGUGAAGAAGGUUUUCGGAUCGUAAAGCUCUGUUGUUAAGGAAGAACGAGUGUGAGAAUGGAAAGUUCAUACUGUGACGGUACUUAACCAGAAAGGGACGGCUAACUACGUGCCAGCAGCCGCGGUAAUACGUAGGUCCCGAGCGUUGUCCGGAUUUAUUGGGCGUAAAGCGAGCGCAGGCGGUUAGAUAAGUCUGAAGUUAAAGGCAGUGGCUCAACCAUUGUAGGCUUUGGAAACUGUGUAACUUGAGUGCAGAAGGGGAGAGUGUAAUUCCAUGUGUAGCGGUGAAAUGCGUAGAUAUAUGGAGGAACACCGGUGGCGAAAGCGGCUCUCUGGUCUGUAACUGACGCUGAGGCUCGAAAGCGUGGGGAGCGAACAGG
rnacentral:rRNA from 1 species